rnacentral:rRNA from 1 species
UACGUAGGGUGCAAGCGUUGUCCGGAAUUAUUGGGCGUAAAGAGCUCGUAGGCGGUUUGUCGCGUCUGCUGUGAAAACCCGAGGCUCAACCUCGGGCCUGCAGUGGGUACGGGCAGACUAGAGUGCGGUAGGGGAGAUUGGAAUUCCAGGUGUAGCGGUGAAAUGCGUAGAUAUCUGGAGGAACACCGGUGGCGAAGGCGCAUCCUGGACCGGCAUUGACGCUGAGGCGCGAAAGCCAGGGGAGCAAACGGGG